rnacentral:rRNA from 1 species
AGAGUUUGAUCCUGGCUCAGGAUGAACGCUAGCUACAGGCUUAACACAUGCAAGUCGAGGGGCAGCAUGGUCUUAGCUUGCUAAGGCUGAUGGCGACCGGCGCACGGGUGAGUAACACGUAUCCAACCUGCCGUCUACUCUUGGCCAGCCUUCUGAAAGGAAGAUUAAUCCAGGAUGGGAUCAUGAGUUCACAUGUCCGCAUGAUUAAAGGUAUUUUCCGGUAGACGAUGGGGAUGCGUUCCAUUAGAUAGUAGGCGGGGUAACGGCCCGCCUAGUCAACGAUGGAUAGGGGUUCUGAGAGGAAGGUCCCCCACAUUGGAACUGAGACACGGUCCAAACUCCUACGGGAGGCAGCAGUGAGGAAUAUUGGUCAAUGGGCGAUGGCCUGAACCAGCCAAGUAGCGUGAAGGAUGACUGCCCUAUGGGUUGUAAACUUCUUUUAUAAAGGAAUAAAGUCGGGUAUGCAUACCCGUUUGCAUGUACUUUAUGAAUAAGGAUCGGCUAACUCCGUGCCAGCAGCCGCGGUAAUACGGAGGAUCCGAGCGUUAUCCGGAUUUAUUGGGUUUAAAGGGAGCGUAGAUGGAUGUUUAAGUCAGUUGUGAAAGUUUGCGGCUCAACCGUAAAAUUGCAGUUGAUACUGGAUGUCUUGAGUGCAGUUGAGGCAGGCGGAAUUCGUGGUGUAGCGGUGAAAUGCUUAGAUAUCACGAAGAACUCCGAUUGCGAAGGCAGCCUGCUAAGCUGCAACUGACAUUGAGGCUCGAAAGUGUGGGUAUCAAACAGGAUUAGAUACCCUGGUAGUCCACACGGUAAAC